AGCAGAUGAUGAUUAAAUAUUUGCUAUCUGAGUUGGUGAUUACAGCUUCAUCCACCAAGAUCGCUGAUGCU